rnacentral:tRNA from 1 species
GGCCUUGUGGCCUAACGGAUAAGGCGUCGGCCUCCGGAGCCGAAGAUUGUGGGUUCGAGUCCCAUCAAGGUCG